rnacentral:rRNA from 1 species
AUUGAACGCUGGCGGCAUGCUUUACACAUGCAAGUCGAACGGUAACAGGCCGCAAGGUGCUGACGAGUGGCGAACGGGUGAGUAAUGCAUCGGAACGUGCCCAGUCGUGGGGGUUAACUACUCGAAAGAGUAGCUAAUACCGCAUACGAUCUAUGGAUGAAAGCGGGGGACCGUAAGGCCUCGCGCGAUUGGAGCGGCCGAUGUCAGAUUAGGUAGUUGGUGGGGUAAAGGCUCACCAAGCCAACGAUCUGUAGCUGGUCUGAGAGGACGACCAGCCACACUGGAACUGAGACACGGCCCAGACUCCUACGGGAGGCAGCAGUGGGGAAUUUUGGACAAUGGGCGCAAGCCUGAUCCAGCAAUGCCGCGUGCAGGAAGAAGGCCUUCGGGUUGUAAACUGCUUUUGUACGGAACGAAACGGCUCUGGUUAAUACCCGGGGCUAAUGACGGUACCGUAAGAAUAAGCACCGGCUAACUACGUG